ensembl:lncRNA
CUUACUGGUGUAUAGGAGGAUGAACUCAUCCUUCACAGACAAAAUAUAGGGAAGAUGAACUUCCCCAAAAUGCAUGUACCUAUUUAAAAACCAAAUCCCAUGUAUUUUUCUGCACUGAGAUUACUGGUAUUGAUCAGAUGAUUAACGUUGUAACACAUUUUGAACUUUAGAAUACUUCUCCUUCCCUCAGGCAGAUAAUUCUUUGUUUGCCUUUAUGUCUUCAUUUUCCUGUGUUGUCCAUGCAAUUUCUUCAUUUUCAGUUAUUGUACAAAGAAAUUGACUGCAGAAUGUGUAACUAAAAAUAGAGGUUUUGGUGGUGAACUCUAGUCAAAACAUUGCAAGAAAACUGCUACCAAGAGGCAUGAAUUACCUGUACUAACUUUCUCCUCCAGGUCUUUAGCCCUGUCUUGUCUCCUACCUGUGAAGGUUAGUAUCAGGCUACCACAACGUACUAAGGGAAAGCAGAAUCUGCUUCCUUGCUUGUCAUUGGAGCUAACCUUUUUCCUCUUUCCUUUUCCCUUUCCUUUCUUUUUCCACAAACACAGCUUUUGCACAAAUGCAGAGAUUUUUCUUGCUUUCAUCCUGCAGCAGUGGUACUUUGUGGACAAGCCAGUCUCUGGUGACGGAGAUCACAGGUGGAGUGCUGCUGCAGUGGCUCCUGAAAACUUCAUCUUUCUUUGGAGUGAAUUGGAGGCAAGGUGAUGAAAAAGGCAAGAGCUGCAUUUGAAUGAGAGAUUGAUCACAGAGACUGAAAGUGACAGCCCUAUCACAUUUGUUUGUGGACUUUGGAGACAGACAGAAAGGAUGAGCAAUUGACAAGGAGAUGCGAAAUACAUUGCAGAUCAUUCAACUAAUUAAGAAGCGGUUCAUUUUCUUUUAAGUCCAGUAAGAGGGAGCAACCUGAAUUGAUGCAUUAAGGGAAAAGAGAAGUAUGAUAUAAACACAGUUUGCACCUGGAAACCAUGCUUACUAUGCUCUGCAUUGCCCACAGUGGGAGAAUAAUGCAAGCUCACCUGGUCUCUUCCUCACCUUCUGCAGCAGGAAUGGUGCUAUCCCCCCAAACAUGGAAAAGAAAACUAUGAAAGACAUGCCGUGUUGGAGUUUUCUUCUAAAUGCUUAACUUCAGAAUUUUGCUUAUCUGCUACUGAAGUGCUAAUUCACUGGGAACUCUCCAUAGUAGUAUCAGUCUUAUGUAUUUACCUAUGAAGUUCUUCUAACAGAUGAAUUGUUUACUCAUAAACCUUCAAUUUCCAAUUCACUUAUUUAAAGUGAGAUUCUUCUUACAGAAUAAAUUCUGGAUCAUGGCUUUAAUUUAAUUUAUUCCUAAGUAACACAGAGCAGAACUUCAUUUUAUAGAGGAUGGAAAAAAAUAUUAUACUGCAUUUCCAUCUACAAAUUUUACUUUGUAUUAUUACAACAGUUUAGGAACUUAUGAUAUAUACAGUUUAAUAUUUUCUAUAUUAAAGCAAUCUCACAUAAAAUAACCAUUGUUACUGUUUAUUUUCUUACUUCUUACAGUGAUUUCUAUUCCAAAAUUAAUGAAGAGGAACUUUGGGUUUUGGUUUGUUGGUUACUUUUUGUUUGUUUGGGUUUUAAGUUGAAUUGUGUAUAUUUAAUAAAUGAGCAUCUUCUCUUGUCACAUUCUUGGUUUUUUUAAAACCACUAUUUUGGUAUACAAUCCCGAUCCCAAAAAUUUAUGUUACAUUAACAUGGAUUGUAUUUAGUGGAAAUAAAAGAUGUGAAUCCAAAAUCUUGAUGUAUUUGACAACAUUUUUUGUGUCUUCUUGUAUGAAUGUGUAUAUUGUUAUAGAUUGUUCUUCAUCUUCCCGUAAGGGAUAAACCAGAAGCAAUUAUAAUUUAAUAGCAUUCUGUAUGCUAAGAAUAUGUGGUGACACAUAAUGGAGUCCAAUAUACCUAUCUGAUUACAAGUUGCUCUUUAG